AUGGCUGACGAGGAUGCCGCAGCCACGGCGAACCUCGUCGAGGCUGAAGAGGACGAUGGGCCAGCAAUGAUGAUGGCUUGCGUCGAGACCAUGCAGGAGGGCCCAGCGCCUUCGGAGACCAUGGCCCCGACAAGCAUCGAAGCCGUGCAGGAGGGCGCAGCACCUCCGGCAACCACGGUGCCGGCAAUCGUUAAGUCCGUGCGGGAGGCACGGAGCUCUUCAACUAAUCCCCUCCCCACAUCGGUAGCGCUCUCCCCGACAACAACGUUCUCGGGAGACUACGAUUGGGAGGAGAUGAAGACCCGGGUGUGGGGGGGCCACACCCCGGCAACCACGUUCCCUGCAACGCUGGUCAAGCCCGUGCAAGUUGGCACGGCAAAGGCGUACCCGACAUCCUCGGGACCCAAUAAGCCCGUGUCAGGAGGCACGGCAACGAGGUAUAUGGUGGGCCACGUCCCAACCAUGAUGCUGGUGACCAGUGAGACCGUGCAAGAGGCACGACACUCUCAGGUCGGCCACACCCCGACAACCAGGUUCUCGGGGUUCUGCAAGCCCGUGUGGGCAACACGGCACUCUUCGACGGGCCUCAACAGCUGGGAGGCCAUGAAGAGACGGUCAUGGGGCGGCAAGGCCUCGACCGUGACUCUGGCGACCAUCGAGGCUGUGCAGGAGGCGCGGUGCUCUAUGGUCAGCCACGCAGCAACCCUGACGCGCUCGGGGUCCAUCGAGUCCGUGCGAAAGGCACGACUCACAAAUGUCGGAGGAGACCCGACAAGCAAGUCUGAUGGGAAGAACACCAAGGACUUCGCUACCCUGAGAGGAGCCACUCCGGGCAGUGCGGCGUCCGGCACAACGACCCCAGGAAGGGAGUUCCUGGGUAGUGCGAUGUCCGACAAGUCAUCCCCGGGAAGGGAGUUCCCGGGCAGUGCGGCGUCCGGCACGACGACCCCGGGAAGGGAGUUCCCGGGCAGUGUGACAUCAGGAACUACGACCCCAGGAACACUGACGCCCACGAGCGAGGUGGUUCCCGGGCAGUUCAUGUCUUCGUCUACAGCGCGGUCGGACCGAUUUGACACCAACAACGUUGGCGCUCCACACAGGUUUCGGUGCCUAGGAGGACCUUCUCGGCGAGCCUGCGGGACGAUCGUAGCACCCGAGAUCGAGAAGCAGGAGAAGGUCGGGAUCAUCGACAACAAGCUCCUUCGACAAGGUUGA
rnacentral:rRNA from 1 species